rnacentral:lncRNA from 1 species
UCAACUCUCACAAAAUUACUCUCUCAAAAUCACUCUACACAAAAAUUACUCUCUCAUAAUCACUCUCUAACAACUCCACAAGUCAUAAUUUGCACAACACGCUUCAUUCAUAAAGAAAGAUCAAAAUUCUCCCAAAAAUCCUCUCAUUUCUCAAAAAGCGUUCAUCACACUCUUGUUGCAUCAAUUCACCAAGUUGAUAAAUCUUUGAGCUAAAUCUUGGUGAAUUUCGUCAAUUACACUUGCUGUUGAGUUUCUGUU